rnacentral:rRNA from 1 species
AGAGUUUGAUCAUGGCUCAGGACGAACGCUGGCGGCGCGCCUAACACAUGCAAGUCGAACGAGAGAGAGGGAGCUUGCUUCCUCAAUCGAGUGGCGAACGGGUGAGUAACGCGUGAGGAACCUGCCUCAAAGAGGGGGACAACAGUUGGAAACGACUGCUAAUACCGCAUAAGCCCACGGGUCGGCAUCGACCAGAGGGAAAAGGAGCAAUCCGCUUUGAGAUGGCCUCGCGUCCGAUUAGCUAGUUGGUGAGGUAAUGGCCACCAAGGCAACGAUCGGUAGCCGGACUGAGAGGUUGAACGGCCACGACUUGGGACUGAGACACGGCCCAGACUCCUACGGGAGGCA